CCUACGGGAGGCUGCAGUAAGGAAUAUUGGACAAUGGCGGAGACGCUGAUCCAGCUAUCCCGCGUGCAGGAUGAAGGACCUCUGGUUUGUAAACUGCUUUAGACUGGGGCGAAAAAGUGGGAUUUAUCCUACAUUGACGGUACCAGUAAAAUAAGCACCGGCUAACUCCGUGCCAGCAGCCGCGGUAAUACGGAGGGUGCAAGAGUUAUCCGGAAUCAAGGGGUCUAAAGGGUGCUGCGAAGGCUUGCUUGAAAGGCCACGGCUUAACCGUGGGAGUGCUUUUGAUACUGGCGAGCUUGGAUUAGGACGAGGUUGGCGGAAUGUGGCAAGUAGUGGUGAAAUGCAUAGAUAUGCCAUAGAAUACCGAUUGCGAAGGCAGCUGACUAGACCUAUAUUGACGCUGAGGCACGAAAGCGUGGGGAGCGAACAGGAUUAGAUACCCGGGUAGUC
rnacentral:rRNA from 1 species